AACACCUUACGGCACGAGCUGACGACAGCCAUGCAGCACCUGUCUCAAUGUUCCCGAAGGCACCAAUCUAUCUCUAGAAAGUUCAUUGGAUGUCAAGGCCUGGUAAGGUUCUUCGCGUAGCUUCGAAUUAAACCACAUGCUCCACCGCUUGUGCGGGCCCCCGUCAAUUCAUUUGAGUUUUAACCUUGCGGCCGUACUCCCCAGGCGGUCAACUUAAUGCGUUAGCUGCGCCACUAAAAGCUCAAGGCUCCCAACGGCUAGUUGACAUCGUUUACGGCGUGGACUACCAGGGUAUCUAAUCCUGUUUGCUCCCCACGCUUUCGUACCUCAGUGUCAGUAUCAGUCCAGGUGGUCGCCUUCGCCACUGGUGUUCCUUCCUAUAUCUACGCAUUUCACCGCUACACAGGAAAUUCCACCACCCUCUACCAUACUCUAGUCAGUCAGUUUUGAAUGCAGUUCCCAGGUUGAGCCCGGGGAUUUCACAUCCAACUUAACAAACCACCUACGCGCGCUUUACGCCCAGUAAUUCCGAUUAACGCUUGCACCCUCUGUAUUACCGCGGCUGCUGGCACAGAGUUAGCCGGUGCUUAUUCUGUCGGUAACGUCAAAACCAUCACGUAUUAGGUAAUGGCCCUUCCUCCCAACUUAAAGUGCUUUACAAUCCGAAGACCUUCUUCACACACGCGGCAUGGCUGGAUCAGGCUUUCGCCCAUUGUCCAAUAUUCCCCACUGCUGCCUCCCGUAGGAGUCUGGACCGUGUCUCAGUUCCAGUGUGACUGAUCAUCCUCUCAGACCAGUUACGGAUCGUCGCCUUGGUGAGCCAUUACCCCACCAACUAGCUAAUCCGACCUAGGCUCAUCUGAUAGCGCAAGGCCCGAAGGUCCCCUGCUUUCUCCCGUAGGACGUAUGCGGUAUUAGCGUCCGUUUCCGAACGUUAUCCCCCACUACCAGGCAGAUUCCUAGGCAUUACUCACCCGUCCGCCGCUCUCAAGAGAAGCAAGCUCCUCUCUACCGCUC
rnacentral:rRNA from 1 species